rnacentral:rRNA from 1 species
GACAGAGGGUGCAAACGUUGCUCGGAAUCACUGGGCGUAAAGGGCGUGUAGGCGGGAAGGAAAGUCAGAUGUGAAAUCCCCAGGCUCAACCUGGGAACUGCAUUUGAAACUCCCUUUCUUGAGUACCGGAGAGGAAAGUGGAAUUCCUGGUGUAGAGGUGAAAUUCGUAGACAUCAGGAGGAACACCAGUGGCGAAGGCGGCUUUCUGGACGGUAACUGACGCUGAGACGCGAAAGCGUGGGGAGCAAACAGG